CGCAUAUCUUAAUUGAAAAAAAAAAUGAUCUCAAGCAUACAAGCUUAGGUUUCUAAAAUUUUCAAGAUGCGAAAGAAAAUAAAAUUGCCAUUGCCAAUGUUGAUGCUUGCCUUUCCCUGAUACAUACAUGCAAUGGACUGAAAGAGUCACAGGACCGCCCAUAGAUGUAAGUAGUGCAAGGAUCAAAUAUUAGAUGAAGGACAAAUGUAAAAAUUGAAAUGACUGAUGACUGACUUUUACAUCAUCAAGCCCAGAACAUUCUUUUUCUUCCCUUGAAGCUAAACAAAUCAAGUAGCCACAUGAAGUUAGUUCGAGGAAAGAAAGGGACAAGGUAGGUUCUCCAAACUAUAUAUUAGUGGAGUCUCAAUUAUUAUUAUUGUUAUUCAACAAGAAUGCGCCUAAAUUAGAGGGAAGAAAAGGGAUAGAACGAAUAAUGUUCAGAGAUUGUGCUGCUAAUUAAGACUUGUGUGAUAUGACUGCCACCAAUCUAUAUCUCAUAAAGCAGUGGUGUGGAUAUGCAGCAGAUCUUCCCCAUUCUUUUCUUCUCUUUUUCUUCUUUUAUUUAUUUCCAUUUUCUACGGCGGGACACCAUUCCACGUGAAAUUAGAAUUUGAGCCUUUGACUGCAAUAUCAUAACAUAGCACUUAUUGGAUGGAACCAUCAAAUAGUAUUACUAUUAGGAUGAGGAAAUGUACAAAAUGAAAUCACAGUUCAAGCAUCCAAAAUGAACAGCAUCUCCACUUUGACCAUCCAUAUAUAGUGAUCAGAUGCAUUCAUCCAUGAAUACGAGUCACAUUAUUAAAUUCUGGUCAUAUCAACUGAAAAUUCGCAGUUUUCUGCUUGUUCCAUCUGACAACUGUGCAUUUGCCAUAAACAGCAAGUCGUAUUCGUUCGCAUAUAUGGCUUGAAUUUUCCGCUAAGUGCUCUCAUUAGCUUCAUCCAGUGUUUCCCUGGAGAGCUUGAAGAAAAAGAAACAAUCAAGGAAGUGAAGCCUCUCAAGUACAAAACUCGUAAACCAAAUGCAGAAACCACAUUCAAUUCUCCUCUUUUGGCUCUCCCUUUGGUUUCUUCUGUAGUCCGCUCACCAUGUCUGUCUCCACCCUUUGACUAAGAAAGUGACCAAAGAUGAAAUAUAAGGGAUCUAAGCACCGUAACAUUAAAGUGGUGUCUGGUACCACGUAAAACUUGAAGCCAAGGAAAGGAUUUUAGGAGCUUCCACUACCUAACGACUAACUUGGGUUCUUGUCAUGUUAAAAGGCAAUAAGAUUUUGCAGUCGGCCAACUCCACUAGACGAAUAUCUCGCAAUUCUUAAAUAAUCUCCCGUUCUAAGGUCCUCCUUUAGACUGAAACGUGGGCGUGUAGAAAUAAAUGAAGAAACUAGGAAGGUAGAUAAGCACAUGGGAUGAAUUAUAAUGCCUAGCUGAUAGUUUACUGAUGAUCAGGAAAGUAUAAAUGUAGAUUGUGUCGAAGGAAAAAGUUGCCAAGUUGAAAGUGGCUGGAUUUUGAGCCAUGCAGGGAAAAAUAUUAGUAAUGUCCACCACAUGCAACCAAUCGCCCUGUUUAUACUUUUUUGAUGCAACAUGCAGAAUAGUGCAGUUGACUUAAUGGUUUGUGGACUACUAAAGCCUACAAGUUAAUGCUUUUCAUCAUCACUCUGUUGAUAUUGGGUGGGGCCACUAUGACAAUAUAUAGCAUCGCCACAUUUCUUGCCCUUGAGUAAGCGUAAAAGGGUCUGCACCUCCACAGCUAAGCCCGCGUAUGUGCUUGUGUGUGUGUGUUAUUAACAAGAGGGACCAUAUCAGCCAUGGCUCUCAAGACCAGAAAUUUUCUUACAAUUCUCCUCCUAGUCUUCAUUUUCAUUUCCCAGCUUCAGGUGAUUGAGUUCUUUAUAGUUUAUAUAACAGUAAAUAAAUUUUGUGCAGACAUUAGCCGAGAUAUGACAGAUGACCUUUUCUUGCAGGCCUGGUAGAAGGUUUCAGGGAAAGCCUGCAUCCUCCUCGCCACUUGCUUGACAAGGAUGGUAUGACGAUGAACUCGAGGAAGCUGUUGAGCCAGGGGUUUGAGCUGGAUUAUGAUGAUGCAGGACCCAACACGAGACACACAAGAAAGCCUGGCAAGGGAAAUUGAUGGCCUUAAGCUCCUAAUCAUUUAAUAAAUAAACUGUGUUCCUCUCGCUCUCUUCCUUCGAUAUGUUUUGUUCGGGUACGAGGAGACAUGAUGUGAUUAUUGAUGAGUUAGUGUACCUAUGCCGCUGCGUGUGCGUAUGUAAUGAGGCAAUAAAUGUAAUGAGGCAAUAAAACAACAAACACACACACACACACACACACUGACAGUAUGUACACUAGACGCUGCUUGUGUUGUGUGCGAAUAUUGUUUUGCAUUUUGUUUGUUAUUGGGAAUAAAAAUGUACACCAGAUGUGGGCUUUUAUACAUUACACUAAUAAGCCCCGUUAUUUAUGGUUUAUAAAUGGAGCGACUUCUGUAAA